UACGUAGGGUCCAAGCGUUGUCCGGAUUUAUUGGGCGUAAAGAGCUCGUAGGCGGUUCGGUAAGUCGGAUGUGAAACUCGGGCUCAACCCCGAGACGCCAUCCGAUACUGCUGUGACUUGAGUCUGGUAGGGGGAUCUGGAAUUCCUGGUGUAGCGGUGGAAUGCGCAGAUAUCAGGAGGAACACCGGUGGCGAAGGCGGGAUCCUGGGCCAGUACUGACGCUGAGGAGCGAAAGCGUGGGGAGCGAACAGG
rnacentral:rRNA from 1 species